AUUAAUGGAAAUAUAUACAAAGUUUUUAAUCAAUGUAAUUCUUCUGAGUUUUGUGUUUGAUAUCUCUCUCUCGAUCCUCUCUUGAUCCUUGAUGGGAAAUCCAUCAACUUUCAUUUGCUAGAGAUGGUUAAAAGAAGAAAUUAAUUUCAAGUCAGAUCCGGUGUUUGGCUUCAAACAGUUCAACCUCGUUUUCUCAAAGAUCCAAUACAUCCGCUAUUUGCAGCAGGUUCAUCUAGAACUCAGCAUCCCCAUCGGCGAACAAGAUUUGUUGUUAGAGCUGAAGUCACUGACAAGGGCUUGAUAAUCUGAAACAAAAGAACCCUGUCAAGAUUCAGAUGUGCACCAUUCACAAAGAGUUGAGGCUUCAGCUUUGUCUACUGAGAUGGCAGGUUGACACCUGCAUCUCGCUGCAUAGUAUCUCCUGGAGGUGUCAAAGAUGACUGAUCCACUGCCUGCCUGGGGAGAUAGUUUACAGAGAGAAGAGUCCACAAAAGUAACAAAAUUCUGGUAAAAGUGUAAAAUCCGGUGGAGAUAAACUUGAAGUCAUGUCAGAUCAGUAACUAGAUUGCAAAAGGUGGUAGUACCUGUAAAGAAUCACCAACAUUGAUGAAGAAUGAGUUCUGAUCAGGUGGAACAGGAAUCCAGGAACCAUUUUUAUCAGCAAUUUGAAGGCCAGUGAUGUUGUUUGAUCUCAACACUGAUACUACCUGAGGGUCUGUAUGUUCUCCGAACCCGACCGUAUUACGAUGAUUAGGAGGAGGAGGACACGUAAUCCGAGAACUUCCGUAGCUAAAUUCUUCACAGAUCCUAUGUAACUCUUCACCAGAGACCUGAAAAAAUCUGGGUUUCCUCGUAAUGAAUUGAAUAAUUGAGAAGAGGAUGCAGAAUCAAGCUUUGUUGAUAAGAGGAG